GAUGAACGCUGGCGGCGUGCCUAAUACAUGCAAGUCGAGCGAACGGACGAGAAGCUUGCUUUUCUGAUGUUAGCGGCGGACGGGUGAGUAACACGUGGAUAACCUACCUAUAAGACUGGGAUAACUUCGGGAAACCGGAGCUAAUACCGGAUAAUAUUUUGAACCGCAUGGUUCAAAAGUGAAAGACGGUCUUGCUGUCACUUAUAGAUGGAUCCGCGCUGCAUUAGCUAGUUGGUAAGGUAACGGCUUACCAAGGCAACGAUGCAUAGCCGACCUGAGAGGGUGAUCGGCGACACUGGAACUGAGACGCGGUCCAGACUCCUACGGGAGGCAGCAGUAGGGAAUCUUCCGCAAUGGGCGAAAGCCUGACGGAGCAACGCCGCGUGAGUGAUGAAAGUCUUCGGAUCGUAAAACUCUGUUAUUAGGGAAGAACAUAUGUGUAAGUAACUGUGCACAUCUUGACGGUACCUAAUCAGAAAGCCACGGCUAACUACGUG
rnacentral:rRNA from 1 species